GGUGCAGCCAGGGGUGGUGGUGAGGAGUUGAGCAGUUGCAGAAGAAGGUGUUGAAAGGUACCAGGGGUCCAGGAUGAGCAGAGCCUCUGUGACAUGAUCCUGCAGCUGAGCUGGGGCCACAGAAGCCACAUACAGCCAUGCCAGCUUGGCAGGAAGGAAGCCUGCCCCUCAUCACCCUUUGCAAACAGAAUCUGGGAGGGUGGGGUGGUAACGCCUAUCUGCCUCCCCCUCUUGUGUCUCAGGGAACAUUCACAUAGGCAGGUGCAGGUGGGGGAUGGGAAGCAGGUAGGGUGGGGCCCUGAGGCCACCAGCUCGUCCCCUCCCGGGUCAGGAAGAACCUUGGGAAUUUCCUUCUCCACUUUCCCAUUGCUUUCUCAAGGACCAAGGCUGGACAGAAAGCAGGCGGGAAGGGAGAGCCUCUGGUAGCUCUCUUCUUAUUUUCCAAAUUUACUUUCAGCCUAUUAACUACUCUUUGCUGAACAGUUCCUGAGUCUGACCCAAUCUACCAAUCAGGUCACCACCUCCUCCCUUUAAGGCCGUGUCAACUCAAUUCAAGGAGAAAGUGCUAGAAAGGAACGUGGAAUGUUAUAUAUCCUGUAUGGACCUUUUCCAGGGACCAAGGAGAAAAGCAAGUUCUAUAUUAUUCUCUUUUCUGCUGGGCUUGGGGGAAACCCUUGUCUGAAGAGUGUUUGUACCUGACUACAACACCUAGGAAGAGCUAUAAUACAAAUAGGAGGCUGACAUUUGUUUCAGUUGACUAAUAUCCAAGCUGCUAGUUUAAGUGACAAUCCUUUUAUCAAGCCACCAAGUUGCAGAUGCUAUCAUGAUUCCUUCCUGACUUCUCUGGCAGAUGACCUCACCAAUGUGUCCUGGAACCUCACCUCUCCAGAGCUCUACUGCCCACUAGGAAAAGAUAGAAACAAACUUGGGAUAUGGAUCGACCUACCAAUGCCUAUAUCAACUGCAGAAGCAAUUACAGAAGCCAAACCUGUCACCUUCUGCACCCCAUAAAAGAGUUUUCAUCAUACUCCAAGUGGGGAGAAGUAAUAGGGGAAAGAUGACCAGAAGGUUCUGAACUCCAACUCUAUGAGGACCCAGACAGAGAAAACAGAGAGGGAUGUUUGGGUGUAAAAAUAGGUUUAUGUGUGACUGGUAAAGGAAGAAAAGAUGGGACUCUAAAAAAUGGGCAAUUAGGGGGGCCGGGUGGCAGUGUAGCAGAUUAAACACAUAUGGCACAAAGCGCAAGGACAGGUGUUAAGGAUCCCAGUUUGAGCCCUUGACUCCCCACCUGCAGAGAGGUCACUUUACAAGCAGUGAAGCAGGUCUGCAGGUGUCUUUCUUUCUCUCCCCCUCUCUGUCCUCCCCUCCUUCGAUUUCUCUCUGUCCUAUCCAACAAAAACAGAAAUAACAACAAUAGCAGUAAUAACAACAACAAUAACAAGGGCAACAAAAUGGUGAAAAAAUGGCCUCCAGGAACAGUGGGUUCGUAGUACAGGCACCGAACCCCAGUGAUAAAACCCUGGAGGCAAAAAAAGGAGGGGCAAUUAUAUACAAAUGUAGACAAAAGAGU